AUUGAACGCUGGCGGCAGGCUUAACACAUGCAAGUCGAGCGGGGUGAUGGUGCUUGCACUAUCACUUAGCGGCGGACGGGUGAGUAAUGCUUAGGAAUCUGCCUAUUAGUGGGGGACAACAUCUCGAAAGGGAUGCUAAUACCGCAUACGUCCUACGGGAGAAAGCAGGGGAUCACUUGUGACCUUGUGCUAAUAGAUGAGACUAAGUCGGAUUAGCUAGUUGGUGGGGUAAAGGCCUACCAAGGCGACGAUCUGUAGCGGGUCUGAGAGGAUGAUCCGCCACGCUGGGACUGAGACACGGCCCAGACUCCUACGGGAGGCAGCAGUGGGGAAUAUUGGACAAUGGGGGGAACCCUGAUCCAGCCAUGCCGCGUGUGUGAAGAAGGCCUUAUGGUUGUAAAGCACUUUAAGCGAGGAGGAGGCUCUUUUGGUUAAUACCCAAGAUGAGUGGACGUUACUCGCAGAAUAAGCACCGGCUAACUCUGUGCCAGCCGCCGCAGUAA
rnacentral:rRNA from 1 species